rnacentral:tRNA from 1 species
GGCUCUGUAGUGAAAUUCAUGGUGAGUUGCAAGCUCAUUGAUGUGCGUUGUAUGCACCAGGGCCU